rnacentral:lncRNA from 1 species
GUAGUGAAUUGCGCUUCUCACCACAACGCCAGCCAUCCGCGCUGUACGACACUUUUUUGUUCCACGCACAAGUGACCAACACUCGCCAAGAGACGCCAUGGACGUCUACCUCCUGGGUGACAGCCAGCAGCUGAGCGAAUUCUGCGCAAGUUUGGGCCUCUAGUCAUCAUGGCAUUUCCAACCUUGUUUCUUUGUUUCUUCUCUUCGCACUCAUGACAUGGCCACCUCGAAACAUCAGAAACCACAACGAAUGCUGGACGUCUAAAAUGUUUCCGUUAGAAAAGCACCGGGCCUGGCGCGCCCCGAAGGAUGGAAGGCUCUGAAGGCGAAGAUUUGAUGAAAGCGCCCUUCACAAAAGCGUCAAGAUGCCCUGAAGCAAUCAGAAGAAACGUUAGGUCAUUACGGAGCCCAAUAAAUUAUUUCU